rnacentral:rRNA from 1 species
UACGUAGGGGGCGAGCGUUGUCCGGAUUUAUUGGGCGUAAAGAGCUCGUAGGCGGCUUGGCAAGUCGGGUGUGAAACCUCCAGGCUCAACCUGGAGACGCCACUCGAUACUGCCAUGGCUAGAGUCCGGUAGGGGACCACGGAAUUCCUGGUGUAGCGGUGAAAUGCGCAGAUAUCAGGAGGAACACCGGUGGCGAAGGCGGAUCUCUGGGCCAUAACUGACGCUGAGGAGCGAAAGCAUGGGGAGCGAACAGG